AGAGAAUGAAAAGCAAGAGAGAGCAAAACAAGGCAAAGAGAAAAUCAAUGCCUCAUUGCAAGCAGCUCUGGGAAGGACCCCUUACUCCGUAUCUGCUUUUCCAGAAAGCCUGAAGUUUCUCUAACAGAAUAUGAAUCCUGACGCAACAACAAGGAGAGGGAGGGAGAAAGCAGUGGGAAGAUCCUCAGAGUUUCUUUUCUCCAUACCGAUGUGAUCGUCC
rnacentral:lncRNA from 1 species